rnacentral:rRNA from 1 species
UACGUAGGUGGCAAGCGUUGUCCGGAUUUACUGGGCGUAAAGAGCGCGCAGGCGGUCGUUCAAGUCGCGUGUGAAAGCCCCCGGCUCAACUGGGGAGGGUCACGCGAUACUGAUCGACUUGAAGGCAGGAGAGGGAAGCGGAAUUCCCGGUGUAGUGGUGAAAUGCGUAGAUAUCGGGAGGAACACCAGUGGCGAAGGCGGCUUCCUGGCCUGUUCUUGACGCUGAGGCGCGAAAGCCAGGGGAGCAAACAGG